rnacentral:rRNA from 1 species
UACGUAGGUGGCAAGCGUUGUCCGGAUUUACUGGGCGUAAAGGAUGCGUAGGCGGUCAUUUAAGUCAGAUGUGAAAUACCCGAGCUUAACUUGGGUGCUGCAUUUGAAACUGGGUGUCUAGAGUGCAGGAGAGGUAAGUGGAAUUCCUAGUGUAGCGGUGAAAUGCGUAGAGAUUAGGAAGAACACCAGUGGCGAAGGCGACUUACUGGACUGUAACUGACGCUGAGGCGCGAAAGCGUGGGGAGCAAACAGG